GUAGGUGGCAAGCGUUGUCCGGAGUUAUUGGGCGUAAAGCGCGCGCAGGCGGUUCUUUAAGUCUGAUGUGAAAGCCCACGGGCUCAACCGUGGAGGGUCAUUGGAAACUGGAGAACUUGAGUACAGAAGAGGAAAGCGGAAUUCCACGUGUAGCGGUGAAAUGCGUAGAGAUGUGGAGGAACACCAGUGGCGAAGGCGGCUUUCUGGUCUGUAACUGACGCUGAGGCGCGAAAGCGUGGGGAGCAAACAGGAUUCGAUACCCUGGUAGUCCACGCCGUAAACGAUGAGUGCUAAGUGUUAGGGGGUUUCCGCCCCUUAGUGCUGCAGCUAACGCAUUAAGCACUCCGCCUGGGGAGUACGGCCGCAAGGCUG
rnacentral:rRNA from 1 species